UCUCCGUUGGUGAACCAGCGGGGGGAUCAUUACAGAGUUGCAAAACUCCCAAACCAUUGUGAACGUUACCUAUCCCGUUGCUUCGGCGGGCGGCCCGGGCCCCGCGCCCGGCGCCCCCCGGCCCCCCGUGGGCGCCCGCCGGAGGUAAACCAAACCCUUGAAUUGCAUGGCCUCUCUGAGUCUUCUGUACUGAAUAAGUCAAAACUUUCAACAACGGAUCUCUUGGUUCUG
rnacentral:misc_RNA from 1 species